rnacentral:rRNA from 1 species
CAGCCGCCACGGGAACACGGAGGGGGCUAGCGUUGUUCGGAAUUACUGGGCGUAAAGCGCACGUAGGCGGCUUGGUAAGUUAGAGGUGAAAGCCUGGAGCUCAACUCCAGAAUUGCCUUUAAGACUGCCGAGCUAGCAGGUGAGAGAGGUAAGUGGAAUUCCGAGUGUAGAGGUGAAAUUCGUAGAUAUUCGGAAGAACACCAGUGGCGAAGGCGGCUUACUGGCUCAUACUGGACGCUGAGGUGCGAAAGCGUGGGGAGCAAACAGGAUUAGAUACCCCAGUAGUCCCUGUCUCUUAUAC